UGCGUCGAACGAAUCCCACCUGGGCAACUGGGUGGGGGAAGUGGCGAAAGGGGCAGUAAGGCGUGGGUAACUUGCCCUGGGGCCUGGUAUAGCCGUCCUAACGGACGGGUAAUCCCAGACGACGUGGCGAGGGGGCAUCCUCUUGCUACCAAAGCUCCGGCACCCCGGGAGAGGCUCACGUGGUAUUAGCUAGAUGGUGGGGUAACGGCCUACCAUGGCGAAGAUGCCUAGCAGGUGUGAGAGCACGACCUGCGCCACUGGCACUGAGACACUGGCCAGACUCCUACGGGAGGCUGCAGUCGAGGAUCUUCGGCAAUGGGCGCAAGCCUGACCGAGCGACGCCGCGUGUGCGAUGAAGGCCUUCGGGUUGUAAAGCACUGUCGGGAGGAAGAAAACCUGCAAGGGUUGAUCGACCUUCAGAGGAAGCACGGGCUAAGUUCGUGCCAGCAGCCGCGGUAAGACGAACCGUGCGAACGUUAUUCGGAAUCACUGGGCUUAAAGGGCGCGUAGGCGGGCCAGCAAGUCAGGGGUGAAAGCCCACGGCUCAACCGUGGAAGUGCCUUUGAUACUGUUGGUCUCGAGGGAGGUAGGGGCGUGCGGAACUUCCGGUGGAGCGGUGAAAUGCGUAGAUAUCGGAAGGAACACCGGUGGCGAAAGCGGCGCGCUGGACCUCUUCUGACGCUGAGGCGCGAAAGCCAGGGGAGCAAACGGGAUUAGAUACCCCGGUAGUCCUGGCCCUAAACGAUGGGUACUAGGUAGUGACUGACAUGGGUUCACUGCCGAAGCAAAAGUGUUAAGUACCCCGCCUGGGGAGUAUGGUCGCAAGGCUGAAACUCAAAGGAAUGACGGGGGCUCACACAAGCGGUGGAGCAUGUGGCUUAUUCGAGGCUACGCGAAGAA
rnacentral:rRNA from 1 species